CUCUCUCUACAAUAAUCAAACAGAAUAUAAAAGUAGCAAACAAGGUCUUCAACAACGCGCAAAAGCGUGUUUUAUCAAUGAUAAGGGCUGGCCACACAGAUUGUAUUUGAUGAUUGUAAGUUUAACACGUCAAUCAUCCUGUUGUCUCCGCCCACCGUGUCGAUAGUGUUCCUGAAACCGCUCGUGCCUCCCUCCUCUACAGCUCAGGAAACCUGGAUAACUCGCCGGGGGUGGGGGGGCAAAAAACAAACAAACAAACAGCAGGGCACCUUUAACAUCGGAUAAAGAGGUUUACCAUGCCCUGAGACCCUGUUCCAGCUGUCCUACUCGUUCUGUAUUCUGUGUUUUAUUUAUUUUACUAUUUUGAGGACCAUCUUGCAAGGGUUGAAGAACAGAAUUCAGCGUUCAUGGAUAUAAAAUCCUGGAUUUUCUGGCAAUUUUUUUUUAUUGGUUGAACAAAAACACAUGAUUUCUCCGCACUACUACAGUCUCUGACACUAUUUUAAACCAAAACCAGAAGUGACA